UAAAAAGAGAACUACCACCUCAUUUCCGUGU
rnacentral:piRNA from 1 species